GCUGGGCAUGGUGGCGCACACCUGUAAUCCCCGCGGCUGGGGAGGCUGAGACAGGAGAAUUGCAGGUUCAAAGCCAGCCUCAGCAUUGGCAGUUAACAACUCAGUGAGACCCUGUCUCUA
rnacentral:sRNA from 1 species